rnacentral:rRNA from 1 species
UACGUAGGUGGCAAGCGUUAUCCGGAUUUAUUGGGCGUAAAGGGAACGCAGGCGGUCUUUUAAGUCUGAUGUGAAAGCCCGGGGCUCAACCCCGGGACUGCAUUGGAAACUGUCGCGCUCGAGUGUCGGAGAGGUAAGUGGAAUUCCUAGUGUAGCGGUGAAAUGCGUAGAUAUUAGGAGGAACACCAGUGGCGAAGGCGGCUUACUGGACGACAACUGACGCUGAGGCUCGAAAGCGUGGGGAGCAAACAGG